rnacentral:rRNA from 1 species
GUACUUGGUGUUACUGCGAAGGGGGGACGGAGAAGGCUAUGUUGGCCGGGCGACGGUUGUCCCGGUUUAAGCGUGUAGGCUGGUUUUCCAGGCAAAUCCGGAAAAUCAAGGCUGAGGCGUGAUGACGAGGCACUACGGUGCUGAAGCAACAAAUGCCCUGCUUCCAGGAAAAGCCUCUAAGCAUCAGGUAACAUCAAAUCGUACCCCAAACCGACACAGGUGGUCAGGUAGAGAAUACCAAGGCGCUUGA